rnacentral:lncRNA from 1 species
CCAAUCACUCGGGCCCGUGCGAGAGAAUUAAACUUCAUCAUGCUGUUAAGGAAUGAAGGCCCAGCAGAAUAAGAAGAUGGCCCAACAGGGCAGCCCAGGUGGGGCGCCUAGGGUUGGAAGCCGCGACCCUCCCCCUGGUCGCGCGCGCCCCCCUCCUGCCGUUGCGCCUCCUCCGGACUCCAGGGGCUGCGCCCCCUUUAUUUAGUCAGAGUCCCUUUUGUUUACGACUUGAGUUUUGUUUUAUAUCUAGCUUUAGCUACUCUCGAACACGCGCAAAUACGCGCUGUCCUUGUGUGAUUCAGAACUCCACCUUCGAGUGAUAUUUAGAUUGCUCGCCUCUCUUUCUUGUUCGUUCUUCGAUUGCGGAAAGGAAUCGAUCUUUGUGAUCAGGCUGAUCUUGCGCUGGCAAGGUUGGUAACCACAGGAAGUUGGUUCAGCGAUUGCAUUGGCGCUUCGGGUUCGCUCGUCGUAGUCGGAUCGUGAGGGUCUACUUCCACCAAGUCGAAUUUAUCUCCACUCACCGAAAGAUCAGGCAUUCCAACUCUAUCAAGUGGUAUCAGCUUUCCAGGUUGAUCGGUGAGUUUUACCGAGUGUUUUUCCCUUCCUACAGUCCACAAAAACCAAAACAAAUUUUUUUCAGGUUAGAUCCUUGUCCCAGCAACCGUUUAGCCUCGCACAUUCUUUCAAUAAGUGUCUUUGUUGAAUUUGUGUGCCUACUCGUUCAAUUGUUGCUGGUUACUUGUGUUUAAUCUCUUGUUUCUUAUUUUUCGUCUAACCCUAGUUUUCGCCGCCGCCGUUCCGCUGCUCGCCAAUCCUACCACGCCACGCCCACCGUCCCCCCUCGCGACAACCGCGCCGCGCCAUCCCACCCCUCCGAUCGCCCCCUCCCCUGUCCAAAAAAAAAGGUAGAAAGCACUCAAAAACAAAAAAAAGGGAAAGUGCAAAAAAAAAAAGGAAAGAAGCAAACAAGAAAAAGAAUCCUACAGGGAGAAGGAAGGGUGAUCCGGUUUUGUUUCGGUGGAAACUCCCCUUGCGCGUGCCGUGAACCCCCCUGGUUCACGACCCUCCGGGGCAACUCCGCACCCCCCCCCACGCAUACCGCGCCCUUCCCCACACACCCCGUGCCAGCUUUUCAUAUCCAUAUCUCUCUUUCUUGGUACUUUUUUUCUAAGGUUCACCUUACUCUAGAGAGAGAGAGAGUGCCGCAAUUUGCUGUUUGAGAUCCUCUGUGUUCAUAUUAUCAGUUUUGGGGCACCCUACAAAAAAAAGAAAAAAAAGAAAAAACAAACAAGGUGCGCCCUCUCCACCUUUGCCUCUGUUCUUUCGGUUUCCCUUGUUACCAGCAACUCUUGUUACGUGUUUGGCACUAUAAUUCAACUUUGCAUUAUUGUUUGAUUGUGCUAAUCCUUCAUUUGAGUGCAGCCUUCCCAGAACUCCACAUAGUUCUACGACGAGCAUAUCUUGUUUCUCCAGGCAAUCGCUCCUCCAAUCUUUCGCGAGUUCCACCGGUUGGUUGCAGUUCGCCCCUGUGUGCGUGGUAAGAACGGAUCAGAAUUUGAUAACAGCACUAGUGUGAGCGCCUUGUGAGCCGUUACACCCCUGUUUUGUCGUCGCUUUUGUUCUUGUAUUUGCGCUAACCAUGGCAGAUGAUGUCGACGCGGGGGAUAACCAGCUGCAGGGCAUACGGGCACAAGUUGAAGGGCUUGUCACCGACAUUCAGACGAUUCAUGAACGGCUGGACUCGACGAUCUCCUCGACGACCGAGCGGUGCGAUCAGCUAGACCUUGCACAGACGGCCGCUAAGGCCACACUCGACACACUUGUGGCAAGACUCGAUGCGUUGCACACAACAGUCACAGAGUUGCAGCAGGGUUAUGGUGGUGACUCGGACCAGGACGAUGGCGACCGCCGAGGCCGUGCCCGCCGCAUGCCACGCCGUCCCGGUAAUGAUUCCUUUUCCAAGAUUAAAUUUAAAAUUCCACCUUUUAAUGGCAAAUGUGAUCCUGCUGCAUAUCUUGAUUGGGAAUUAGAAGUUGAACAAAAAUUUUCAUGCCAUGAUAUUCUUACUAAUUCACAAGUUAAAGCUGCUAUUAGUGAAUUUACUGAUUUUGCUUUAAUUUGGUGGCGUGAAUAUAAACACAAACAUCCCAAUACCAUUCCAACCACUUCGGAUCAAUUAAAAGCUGCUAUGCGCCACUGAUUUGUACCUUCUUAUUAUGCCCGAGAUUUGCUUAAUAAAAUGCAACAUUUUCAGCAAGGUUCCAAAUCUGUUGAGGAAUAUUUCCAGGAAUUACAAAUAGGCAUGAUUCGUUGUGGGUUAUUGGAGGAAAACGACGCUGCUAUGGCACAUUUUCGUGGUGGUUUGAACCGCGAAAUUCAGGAUAUACUUGAUUAUAAGGACUACACAGAUAUGACAACAUUAUUUGAAUAUGCUUGCAAAUCUGAACGUGAAGUGCAGGGACGUCGCUCGAAGACAUAUUCUAACUCUUUUGCAGGAAGAAGCUCGACAUCCAACUCCGCACCCGCUCUCCCUGCGCCACCCACGCCCUCCACUACACCGCACGAGAGAACGGCCAAACCUGCAAGCGCUGCCCCUUCCACAGGCGCUGCCCCUCCCACAGGCCGUACACGGGAUAUUCAAUGUCAUCGUUGCAAAGGAUUUGGCCACGUGUUUCGGGACUGUCCGAACAAGCGAACGUUGCUUCUUUGUGAUGAUGGUGAGUACUCUUCCGCUAGUGAUUCUGACGAUACUCAACAUGCGAUGCUUGCCACUGACCAUGCAGCUAUGGAGGUACAUGUCAACCCGGGCGACGCUGAUAGGUAUGAAAGUCUUGUUGUGCAGCGUGACCUUAGUACACAGGUCGCUCCGUCCGAGAAGAAUCAGCGACACACUCUUUUCCAUACCAAGGGCGUUGUGCAGGAGCGGUCGAUUCGCAUCAUCAUCGACAGCGGCAGCUGCAACAAUUUGGCGUGUACCACGCUGGUUGAUAAGUUGUCUUUACCCACUCGUAAGCAUCCAAAUCCAUAUCACAUUAAAUGGCUUAAUGAUGGUGGGAAAAUUAGAAUUACUCGAUCAGUCCGUGUUCCUUUCUCCAUGGGUGCUUAUUCUGAUUUUGUCGAUUGUGAUGUUAUUCCCAUGGAAGCAUGCUCUCUGUUACUUGGGCCACCUUGGCAAUAUGAUACUAAUAGCUUGCAUCAUGGUCGUUCAAAUCACUAUUCUUUCAUGUUUAAGGGUCAGAAAAUAAUUAUACAUCCAAUGACACCUGAACAAAUUCUUAAAGAUGAUCUUGCUAGAGCUGCUAAAACUGCUAAACAACUUGAACCAUCGACAUCUGUUAAUUCUGAAAUCAAGUUGAAUGCUCCUGUUUUGCUUGCUACACGUGCUGAUUUUGAUGAGUUACGCGAUGCUCCUUUGCCAUGCUAUGCCCUUAUAUGCUCUAGUGUGCUUGUUUCACUUGAUGAUACACCAUCUUUGGAUAUUCCCCCUGUGGUUGCUAACAUUUUGCAGGAGUACGCUGAUGUCUUUCCAAAAGAUUUGCCACCGGGACUCCCACCACUUCAUGGCAUUGAGCACCAGAUCGACCUCAUUCCCGGCGCACAGCUUCCGAACCGCGCACCAUACCGUACAAAUCCGGAUGAGACGAAGGAAAUCCAGCGCCAGGUACAGGGGUUGCUUGACAAGGGUUAUAUUCGUGAGUCUCUUAGUCCUUGCUCCGUUCCCGUGUUACUUGUUCCAAAGAAAGAUGGCUCAUGGCAUAUGUGUGUAUACUGUCGUGCUAUUAAUAACAUUACCAUUCGCUACCGAUACCCUAUACCACGCCUUGAUGAUAUGCUAGAUGAGCUUAGUGGUGCCAUUAUUUUCACUAAGAUUGAUUUGCGUAGUGGCUACCAUCAGAUUCGCAUGAAAUUAGGUGAUGAAUGGAAAAUGGCUUUUAAAACGAAAUUUGGGUUAUAUGAAUGGUUGGUUAUGCCGUUUGGUUUGACAAAUGCUCCCAGCACAUUUAUGCGUUUGAUGAAUGAAGUUCUGAGGCCCUUCAUAGGAUUGUUUGUAGUUGUCUAUUUUGAUGAUAUCCUCAUUUACAGCAAGUAUAUGGAAGAGCAUUUAGAUCAUUUGCGUGCUGUUUUUGAUGCGUUGCGUGCGGCCCAUUUAUUUGCUAACCUCGAAAAAUGCAUGUUUUGCACACAACGUGUCUCGUUUCUUGGCUAUGUUGUUACUCCACAGGGCAUUGAGGUGGAUAGCAGCAAGAUCGAUGCCAUUCGGGAGUGGCCUACACCGACGACGGUCACACAAAUUCGAAGCUUUCUUGGCCUUGCAGGUUUCUACCGCCGGUUUGUUCGUGAUUUUAGCUCCAUUGCAGCGCCUCUACAUGAGCUUACAAAGAAGUAUGUUCCUUUUGCUUGGAGUGAUUCGCAAGAGGUUGCAUUCAGCACCUUGAAAGAUAAGUUAACCAAUGCUCCUCUCUUGCAAUUGCCUGAUUUUACUAAAGUGUUUGAGCUCGAAUGCAAUGCUAGUGGUAUUGGGCUAGGUGCUGUUUUGUUACAAGAAGGAAAACCGGUUGCUUACUUUAGCGAGAAAUUAAGUGGUGCUAGCUUGAAUUAUUCUACUUAUGAUAAGGAGCUUUAUGCUUUAGUGCGCACUUUGCAUACUUGGCAGCACUACCUUUGGCAUCGCGAGUUUAUAAUUCAUUCUGAUCAUGAGGCUUUAAAACAUAUUCGUACCCAAACAAACCUGAACCGUCGUCAUGCUAAAUGGGUAGAAUUCAUUGAGUCUUUCCCUUACAUUAUCAAACACAAGAGCGGGAAGGAAAAUGUCAUUGCUGAUGCUUUGUCUCGUCGCUAUACCAUGCUAUCACAGUUAGAUUUUAAAAUCUUUGGCUUGCAAACUGUGAAGGAUCAAUAUGUGGAUGAUGCUGAUUUUACAUUGAGUCUUUCCCUUACAUUAUUAAAGAUGCUUUCGCCCAUUGUAUUCAUGGCAAACCAUGGGGAAAAUUUCACAUAUAGGACGGGUUCCUGUUUCGCGCUAACAAGCUGUGUGUUCCAGCUAGCUCGGUUCGUCGUUUGUUGUUACAGGAAGCGCAUGGAGGCGGACUCAUGGGGCACUUUGGCGUCUACAAGACGCAUAAAGUGCUAGCUGCCCACUUCUUUUGGCCCCGGAUGCGCGUUGAUGUUGAGCGCCUUGUUGCACGUUGCACUACUUGCCAGAAAGCUAAGUCACGAUUGAACAACCAUGGUUUGUACAUGCCUUUGCCUGUUCCUACUUCCUCUUGGCUUGAUAUUUCUAUGGACUUUGUUUUGGGAUUGCCUAGAACUAAGAAGGGGAGGGACAGUAUUUUUGUGGUUGUUGAUCGUUUCUCCAAAAUGGCUCAUUUUAUACCUUGUCAUAAGACUGAUGAUGCUAGCAAUAUUGCUGAAUUGUUCUUUCGCGAGAUUAUUCGUUUGCAUGGUAUUAUAAAUACAAUAGUCUCUGAUCAUGAUGCUAAGUUUCUCAGUCAUUUUUGGAGAUCACUGUGGAAUAAAAUGGGAACUAAAUUGCUGUUUAGCACCACUUGUCACCCUCAAACUGAUGGACAAACUGAGGUGGUUAAUCGAACCUUGUCCACCAUGCUUAGGGCUGUUUUAGAUGAACACUUGAAACGUUGGGAAGAUUGCUUGCCUCAUGUUGAGUUUGCUUAUAAUCAUGCAACGCAUUCUUCUACAAAGAUGUGUCCCUUUCAGGUUGUUUAUGGUUAUAUUCCUUGGGCGCCUAUUGAUUUGUUUGCACUUGAUGCCGAGGAUGCCCCACACAUAGAUGCCGCUGCACAUGUUGAUCAAAUGAUUAGCUUGCAUGAGCAAACUCAACAAAACAUUGCUGCUGCUAAUGCUAAAUAUCAGGUUGCGGGUAGUAAAGGGAGAAAACAUGUUACUUUUGCACCGGGUGAUCUGGUUUGGUUGCAUUUGAGAAAGGAUCGUUUUCCUACUUUACGUCGUUCUAAAUUGAUGCCACGUGCUGCUGGUCCUUUUAAAGUGCUAACCAUGAUUAAUGAUAAUGCUUAUAUCCUUGACCUGCCUGCGGAGUUUGGUGUUUCCACGAGUUUUAAUGUUGCAGAUUUGAAACCGUAUGUGGGCGAAGAUGAGGAGUUGCCAUCGAGGACGACUUCAGUUCAAGAAGGGGAGGAUGAUGAGGACACCACGAGUACAUCUACACCAGCAGCACCUCAGGUGCCUCCAGUUGCUCCUCCACCUCAGGCGCCUACAGUUGAUCAUCCAGUUGGGCCAAUCACUCGGGCCCGUGCGAGAGAAUUAAACUUCAUCAUGCUGUUAAGGAAUGAAGGCCCAGCGGAAUAAGAAGAUGGCCCAACAGGGCAGCCCAGGUGCGGCGCCUAGGGUUGGAAGCCGCGGCCCUCCCCCUGGUCGCGCGCCCCCCCUCCUGCCGUCGCGCCUCCUCCGGACUCCAGGGGCUGCGCCCCCUUUAUUUAGUCAGAGUCCCUUUUGUUUACGACUUGAGUUUUGUUUUACAUUUGGCUUUAGCUACUCUCGAACACGCACAAAUACGCGCUGUCCUUGUGUGAUUCAGAACUCCACCUUCGAGUGAUAUUUAGAUUGCUCACCUCUCUUUCUUGUUCGUUCUUCGAUUGCGGACAGGAAUCGAUCUUCGUGAUCAGGCUGAUCUUGCGCUGGCAAGG